rnacentral:rRNA from 1 species
CCUACGGGAGGCAGCAGUGGGGAAUCUUGCGCAAUGGGCGAAAGCCUGACGCAGCAACGCCGCGUGCGGGAAGAAGGCCCUAGGGUUGUAAACCGCUUUCAGUAGGAACGAAAAUGACGGUACCUGCAGAAGAAGGUGCGGCCAACUACGUGCCAGCAGCCGCGGUGACACGUAGGCACCAAGCGUUGUCCGGAUUUAUUGGGCGUAAAGAGCUCGUAGGCGGUUCAGUAAGUCGGGUGUGAAAACUCUGGGCUUAACCCAGAGCCGCCACUCGAUACUGCUGUGACUUGAGUUCGGUAGGGGAGCAGGGAAUUCCUAGUGUAGCGGUGAAAUGCGGCAGAUAUUAGGAGGAACACCGGUGGCGAAGGCGCUGCUCUGGGCCGAUACUGACGCUGAGGAGCGAAAGCGUGGGUAGCAAACAGGAUUAGAUACCCUGGUAGUCCACGCCGUAAACGUUGGGCACUAGGUGUGGGUUCCAACCACGGAAUCCGCGCCGUCGCUAACGCAUAGUGCCCGCCGUCGGAGUACGGCGGCGACGACGAAACGUACGAAGAGAGUAGACGGCGUGAGACGUUAGUCCGAACGGACGACGACGAGGGAGGAGG